rnacentral:tRNA from 1 species
GCUCUUGUCGUCUAAUGGUAGGACAUGCGACUUUCUAUCGUAGAAUUACGGUUCGAAUCUGUGCUUGAGUA